UGCAAUGAAUGACAGGAGGGCAGAGCAGAGCUCCUGCGGGGAAGGGGCCGAGCCAACCCCCAGCUGGGAGCAUGUCCUCUUCACCGCCUGCCACAACCAGCACCUGCAGCUGCAGCCCCCGCGCCGCAGGCUGCACUCGUGGGCGGACGACUGGAAGGCCAUUCUGGACAGCAAGCGGCCCUGCUGAGCUGGACUGUGCUUCAGGCUCCUCUGUGGGGCUCUGACCUCAGGGCUCCCACCUCGGGGCCUGUGGGGCCAGUACGCUGGUCUGGGAGUCCCUCCUAGACUCCUGGGCCCCAUGACCUCCUGCUGCAUGUCCCUUCCUUUCCCCAGCCCUGCCAGGCCUUAACCUGAUUACGGGGCAGGGCUGGGCCCUCUGGGCGAUUGGUCAU
rnacentral:sRNA from 1 species